rnacentral:rRNA from 1 species
AGUGAACGCUGGCGGUAGGCCUAACACAUGCAAGUCGAACGGCAGCACAGUAAGAGCUUGCUCUUACGGGUGGCGAGUGGCGGACGGGUGAGGAAUACAUCGGAAUCUACUUUUUCGUGGGGGAUAACGUAGGGAAACUUACGCUAAUACCGCAUACGACCUACGGGUGAAAGCAGGGGACCUUCGGACCUUGCGCGAUUGAAUGAGCCGAUGUCGGAUUAGCUAGUUGGCGGGGUAAAGGCCCACCAAGGCGACGAUCCGUAGCUGGUCUGAGAGGAUGAUCAGCCACACUGGAACUGAGACACGGUCCAGACUCCUACGGGAGGCAGCAGUGGGGAAUAUUGGACAAUGGGCGCAAGCCUGAUCCAACCAUACCGCGUGGGUGAAGAAGGCCUUCGGGUUGUAAAGCCCUUUUGUUGGGAAAGAAAAGCAGCAGGUUAAUACCCCGCUGUUCUGACGGUACCCAAAGAAUAAGCACCGGCUAACUUCGUG